rnacentral:rRNA from 2 species
AUCCAGACUUUGAUUAUGGCUCAGGAUGAACGCUAGCUACAGGCUUAACACAUGCAAGUCGAGGGGAAACGAUAUUGGAAGCUUGCUUCCGAUAGGCGUCGACCGGCGCACGGGUGAGUAACGCGUAUCCAACCUGCCCGUCACUUGGGGAUAACCUUGCGAAAGUAAGACUGAUACCCAAUGAUAUCUCAAGAAGACAUCUGGAUGAGAUUAAAGAUUUAUCGGUGAUGGAUGUGGAUGCGUCUGAUUAGCUUGUUGGCGGGGUAACGGCCCACCAAGGCGACGAUCAGUAGGGGUUCUGAGAGGAAGGUCCCCCACAUUGGAACUGAGACACGGUCCAAACUCCUACGGGAGGCAGCAGUGAGGAAUAUUGGUCAAUGGGCGAGAACCUGAACCAGCCAAGUAGCGUGCAGGAUGACGGCCCUAUGGGUUGUAAACUGCUUUUAUAAGGGAAUAAAGUGAGCUACGUGUAGCUUUUUGCAUGUACCUUAUGAAUAAGGACCGGCUAAUUCCGUGCCAGCAGCCGCGGUAAUACGGAAGGUCCGGGCGUUAUCCGGAUUUAUUGGGUUUAAAGGGAGCGUAGGCCGGAGAUUAAGCGUGUUGUGAAAUGUAGAUGCUCAACAUCUGCACUGCAGCGCGAACUGGUUUCCUUGAGUACGCACAAAGUGGGCGGAAUUCGUGGUGUAGCGGUGAAAUGCUUAGAUAUCACGAAGAACUCCGAUUGCGAAGGCAGCUCACUGGAGCGCAACUGACGCUGAAGCUCGAAAGUGCGGGUAUCGAACAGGAUUAGAUACCCUGGUAGUCCGCACGGUAAACGAUGGAUGCCCGCUGUUGGUCUGAAUAGGUCAGCGGCCAAGCGAAAGCAUUAAGCAUCCCACCUGGGGAGUACGCCGGCAACGGUGCAACUCAAAUGAAUUGACGG